rnacentral:lncRNA from 1 species
UGAUUGUGUUUAUUGUACUGUUGCUUUAUUGUAUUUUCAUAUGAGUUAUGCUUAAUGUCGUAUUUUGAUUACACUACUAUAUAUUUAUCAAAUUAUUUAUACUGAGUUACGCUUAACGUUGUAUUUUGAUGACACUAUUAUAUGUUUAUCAAACUAUUUAUCCGUAGCGAAGCACGGGGUUUUCACUAAUUUAGAUAAAUUCUAUAGGCUUUUAUCAAAAAUAGAUCGUGUCACUGCCACUCAGCCUUUAAUGUUAGGACAUGUUUGGAUCGAAAUCAUGACUAAAAUUGAAAGCCAAAUCGGAAUAGGCUGGCGUCAAAACCGAAAUGACUCGUUAGGUUAUUUUAUUCAGUUUGUCGAACUAAGUCAGAAUCAAAAAAUUUUUUAUUUUUUGAGUGAGAAGUUUUAAAAAUGAACUCAACUAGAAAUAUAAAAACAACUGUGUUUCGAAUUUAGGACCUUAGAUACUAACCAUCAAGCCCUCAGCUAACUCUGCUAAGUAUUAUUUUCAUUGUCAGUAUUUAGUUCAGCAUUUGGUUCACUUAGAUGCCAUGAUCACCGCCCCAGUUAAGCUAAUCUUCAUUUCGAAUUGUAAUAUAAAAUUCCAAUUCGGGUCAGUUUGUUGUGGAAUGUGGAUUCAGAGCCAGAUAAAAUCUUGGAUAUCCGUACCCAUUGAUGCUCCUAAUAUAUGGUUCUGUAGAACUUAUCCUAACUCCUAAGACUUUGUUUGGAAUUGCGAAAAGAUUGCGUUAUAUACGUGGUGAGAAAGCGAGGUGAAAAAAAUAUUCUAUUAUGUUUUCGUACGUAAUAUUCCGUUUCGCAUAUCGCAAUGCGUUGUGAUGUUACGAUAUAUUUUCUAUGCUCCCAGUGAAAAACCCAUAAGUAUAUGUUAUAUGCUUUCACUGGGGAUGUCAAUGGGUACAGAUAUCCGAAAUUUUAUUCGAACCCGAAUCCAAACGGAGCGAAUUUAUCCGAUACUAAAUGGAUAUGGUUUCAGAUAUGGAUAUCAAAAACAAAACCCUAUGGAUAUGAAUACAUAUAUGGAUUUUGACUAUACCCAACCUGAACCUGAAUCCGACCCGAACUCGAUCCGAAUCCGAAUUUAUUUUACAUUAUAUAUAAUAUGUAUAUAAAAAUUUGAUAUUAUAUUUGAAUUUAUAUUUUAAAAAUUUAAAUUUAAUAUAAUAUAUUUUGAAAUAUUGAAAAGUGAAAUAAUUGUUUCGGGUUCGGAUUUUCGGGUUCGGGUUCGAGUUUCGGGUUUGGAGUCGGGUUUGGGUUCGAGUUUUUGAAAAUCCGUCCCGAAUCCGACCCGGUUGACAUCCCUAGCUUUCG